rnacentral:rRNA from 1 species
GACGAACGCUGGCGGCGUGCUUAACACAUGCAAGUCGAACGGGAUCCAAGGGGUGCUUGCACUUUUUGGUGAGAGUGGCGAAUGGGUGAGUAAUACGUGAGUAACCUUUCCUUUUCUUUGGGAUAAGCAUUCGAAAGGGUGUUUAAUACCUUAUGUUCUGUCUGCCUUGUAUGGGGUGGGUGGGUAAGGCUUUGGCCGGAGUUGGGUGGGCUCGCGGUCUAUCAGCUUGUUGGUGGGGUGAUGGCUUACCAAGGCUUUGACGGGUAGCCGGCCUGAGAGGGUGGUCGGUCACAUUGGGACUGAGAUACGGCCCAGACUCCUGCGGGAGGCAGCAGUGGGGGAUAUUGCACAAUGGGCGAAAGCCUGAUGCAGCGACGCCGCGUGGGGGAUGAAGGCCUUCGGGUUGUAAACUUCUUUUGCUCUGAACAAGGCGCACUUUUGGGUGUGUUGAGUGUAGGGGUUGAUUAGCGCCGGCUAACUACGUG